GACGAACGCUGGCGGCGUGCUUAACACAUGCAAGUCGAGCGGUAAGGCCCUUUCGGGGGUACACGAGCGGCGAACGGGUGAGUAACACGUGGGUGACCUGCCCUCAGCUCUGGGAUAAGCCUGGGAAACCGGGUCUAAUACUGGAUAUGACUCCAUGACGCAUGUUGUGGGGUGGAAAGCCUUGUGCGGCUGAGGAUGGGCCCGCGGCCUAUCAGCUUGUUGGUGGGGGAUGGCCUACCAAGGCGACGACGGGUAGCCGGCCUGAGAGGGCGACCGGCCACACUGGGACUGAGACACGGCCCAGACUCCUACGGGAGGCAGCAGUGGGGAAUCUUGCGCAAUGGGCGAAAGCCUGACGCAGCGACGCCGCGUGAGGGAUGACGGCCUGG
rnacentral:rRNA from 1 species